rnacentral:rRNA from 1 species
AUUGAACGCUGGCGGCAUGCCUUACACAUGCAAGUCGAACGGUAACAGGUCUUCGGAUGCUGACGAGUGGCGAACGGGUGAGUAAUACAUCGGAACGUGCCCGAUCGCGGGGGAUAACGAGGCGAAAGCUUUGCUAAUACCGCAUACGAUCUACGGAUGAAAGCGGGGGAUCUUCGGACCUCGCGCGGACGGAGCGGCCGAUGGCAGAUUAGGUAGUUGGUGGGAUAAAAGCUUACCAAGCCGACGAUCUGUAGCUGGUCUGAGAGGAUGAUCAGCCACACUGGGACUGAGACACGGCCCAGACUCCUACGGGAGGCAGCAGUGGGGAAUUUUGGACAAUGGGCGAAAGCCUGAUCCAGCCAUGCCGCGUGAAGGAUGAAGGCCUUUGGGUUGUAAACUGCUUUUGUACGGAACGAAAAGCCUCUUUCUAAUAAAGAGGGGUCAUGACGGUACCGUAAGAAUAAGCACCGGCUAACUACGUG